GACGCGAUCCUGGCGCGCUCUCGUGGAGAAACUCGGCUGUUAAUGUUAAACUAGGUUCGAGGAAAGCUCUUGCUAAAAUUGAUAACUGAAUUUGACAGCUAAACUUGACAGCUGAAUUGACAGCUAAAUUUGACAAUGAAAGAGAGAAAAAUAAGGGAAUUUUCAAAUGAUCUUAAACAAAUACCUGGUCAGGAUUCAUGCCAGCCAACAAUUCCACAGCGAGACUAGGACCUUUCUCAGCAUUAUUGUUACAAGGAUUUAGCAUUAAAAGUUCACGACCUGCCUGCAACGCCGCAGCAGCCUGCAGCUCGUCUCGAGAUUCUUCCAAACCUGAAAUCAACGAAACAUUACAUAGAGAAUCUCAUUUAUUAAGGGACAAAUCGGGCCCUUCCCAAGAGAUGAGACGUCGUUCCUCUUACUUGCUCGCUGAGCCGGUGUCCGCGACGACGAGGAGGCGGCUGUCGAUCGUUGCGGGACGGCGACGGCGGCGACGACGUCUGGUGUCCUACGAACUGGAACUGGCCUUCCCACAGAUCGUACUCGAGGCCGGCUCCGGGCCCGGACGACGGCCCCUCCCCGGAAAAGGACGCGCGAUCGCACGGAUCGAUCGACUCCUCGCAAAAGUUCAGCUCCAUCGCGCGGCGCGGUAGACCCGGUUAUCGCGUCACGUCAUCGCCUGUGUCGCGAGCGCACUUGGUCAUCAUCCCCGCACGGACCCAUCAACGUCGUCGUCGCCGCUGUCACUUGCCUCUUCGUCGCGCCGAUCCUCAUCGAAGAUGCUUGACUCCGGGGCCUCCUUGUUCUUGGACGAGAGCAAACAGCCGCGCACUUCCACAGCGAUGUUCUCCUCUCUAUGCGGUUUCUACGCGCCAGGAAUAUAUUCCAAGUCCGCCGUCGUUCGUUCGCGCUCGUAACGCUUCUCCGUCUCUUUCUCUCUUCCUCUCUAUCUGAUCGCCCACCGCGGGCAAGCCGGGUGUAGUCACUGCGGAGGCUAUUUGUGCGCUCCAUACCACGUGUCUGCUAACUCCUGGCACUCGCGACUUGACAGUUCCGCCGCGUUACGCCGAACGCUCUCUAGUAAAGCUAGAGCCCGCCCUUAUUCUACGCCUCCUUCUCACGGCACACAUUUGCGUGGAAAUGUCAACGAAACGGGACAGAAAUCGAUGUUUUAUAUCCGUUAGGCUUACAUUCCGAUGCGAUGGACAACACGAAGCACGUAUAUCUGUAUUUAUUCACGUUGACGGAAUCGCGAAAACUCAUUUUCUCCGCGUAGAAGGAAAGCUGAACUCGUCAAGUUACUCCGAAUUUCACAUUUCCGAGGAAACUCUUUUCUAGUAUACUUUUUAUAUUUACGCCGAUUAAUCGGAGUCAUGCAUGUUAUUUGUGGAUGUCAGCGAUAUCGCGUCGUCGAUAGCACACAUACAUAUACACACUCGACGAUAGUAACAAUAUACGCCCCCUUAAUUAUUCCGAAUAUUCAAUUAGGUUUGAUGUUGAUGAGUGAUCAUUGGCAGAGAAUAUUUUUCAGAUUAAUGUUGGAGACGAUAACUCGCUUCGUCGUCCCAGCAAGUGUGUCACAUGUCAAAGUGGCAUAUGAUAUAAUGUCGCGCACGCGCUUACAAAAGGCGUUUAUUGUCAUCGUGUCAUCAUCGAAGCUCGCACCGCGCCUAAUUGCACCUCUUGAACUCACGCGAGGAAUUUUGCAGCCUGUUCGAUAAGUCGUUUGGAUUAUACUUCCAGUCAUGAAUUAUUUUCUUGCGGACGAAAAUGUGCAUUACGAUAUCGUCACGGAAGAUCACGUCGCGCCCGAUGUCCGACUUUUGAGCGCGAUGACGACAGGUAGAUUGCGAAAUAUAAUCGAGAUACGAAAUUACCUGCGGAUGAAACCUGUGUAAGCGUAGCCAGAGGGCGAUUUUUCGUCGGGUUUCGCGGGAGAAGCCGCGAUAAACGAUCCCGAUCAAAACGAUCAGGAGAAGGACGAGGAAGAGGACGACCGGCCAGGACCAGAUCUCCUCCUUCGUGCUGUCACGUUGAGCGCAACACGGCGAUUGAUAAAACGAACCUAAAUAGUGAUACGCCGCGUACGGAUCGUACGGGAGAUAACGAGCAUAAGGAGCCAGAUAAAACGGAUACGGAACGGGAUGAGGCUGAUGGUUCCUGUCAGGAUCUCGAGUGAAGGGUCGCCGGAAACGUGUCGCACACAUCUAACAGCUUUGAAGAUUUUUUUCGGAUAUGUUAUUAAGUGAAAAACGAACCAAGAAUUUGGACCAAAGUUUCCCAACAGGUUAAGAGCGAGAAAAAAAACUGACAAACGGAUUUUUCCCGUUAUUGAUAUAUGCUACAACUCUGUUCAUGUCGUACUUUUUAUUGUUACUCAAAAUAUUUCACUCGUUCGAAGAAGAAAUUGCGAUGGAAUUUUAUUUUAUUUUAUUUUAAAAUGCGGAAAAAUUAUUAUUUCUAGGUGACCGUGUCUUACUCACCUUGUGGCUGAGAUCCAUCACGUCCUCCAAAGAUACGUCGCUGUAGACAUCAUCCGCAGCAUCGUAGUUUGAGCCCAUCCCCGGGCUGUUGAAGCUGCCACUCCGAUAAAGCUGGCUGCAAAUGUCACAAGAGAAGUGGGUCACAUCUUCCACAACGAAACCUCUCGUCGAGAUCUCUCACCUGCGAGAAUUGGUACCGGUCGGCGAGGGCGCGGAGCUGCUGCCACCGGGUGAAUCCGGGCCGUCGUCGACGAGGGAGUCCCCCUCGACGGAUCCGAAGCCCUCGUAGCUCUCCUCCUCGUCGUGGCAGCCGAUCUUGAUCGUGGCGACGCCGUUCGUCGUCACCGCCGCCUCCUGGUGGUGCCGAUGACGCUCCGGGCUGGUCGACGAGUACCGUCCGGAGUCCGAGAGGUGCGAGAUGACGAGAUUGCGGAGAUCGGUGGACAUCGGGAGAGACGCCGGGCCGCUCUGACUCCACUCCCGGUGAUGAUCGACGCCGUCUGUCGGCCGGCUCUCGUCGUCGCGCGACGACGCCGCCGCUCCUCCGCCGUCGACGAUGCCCGCCCCGUUAGCGGUGGACGUGACGUUGGCGUCCGGCGUGCGGGAGCUCACCAUCCUUCCUCGCCUCCGCAGGAUCCGAGCAUGGGUCGACGGGGGACGAUCUCAUCCGCCGCUGCUGCUGCUGAAACACCAGGUUCGUGAGUCAGACUCGAGGUAUGCCAGGAGCGUCCGCUUCGGGGAUAAGUGACGGUGCAGCGGAAGAGGUAGAGAGAAAAAGAGAUAGAGAUAUAUAUAUAUAUGGGAGUCGUUGCCCGCGUCUUCUUCUUCUUCUCCUCCCUCGAGCAGGAGUCGGGGUCGAGGUGAACUUGUAUCGCAAGAUCCUUUUUACAUAUUAUAGGGGGACUUGCGUCGCUGGUUCUGAAAAGGAAAAAAUGGUCCCUUUGCUCGAAAUAAUGAUGGGAAAAAUCUGGGGAGUGUCUCGAGAUGUCGUGUUGGCAGUUUUAUAUUGUAUGUAUUUUUUAUUACUGUUAUUUAUAUAAAAUAAAUAG